GGGGGUAUGGCGGAAUUGGUAGACGCUGCGGACUUAAAAUCCGUUGACUUUUAAAAUCGUGAGGGUUCAAGUCCCUCUAUCCCCA
rnacentral:tRNA from 1 species